GCCUGUGGCCAGACUGGACUGAAUGUACCCAAUCCUGUCUGAUCCUGGAAACUAAACAGUCCCAGGUCUGGCUAACUGCUUACUUCCAGUAUCCUUGUGUACCAAGGCA
rnacentral:rRNA from 1 species